rnacentral:lncRNA from 1 species
UAAAAAGGUUUUUUUUUUUUUUUAAGAGAAAGGUAAUAUGUUAUCCGUUUCGUUUAUUUUUUAAAAAAUAAAAUUAGCUAGAAAUAUAAAUUAAUUAGGAUUGAAACUUGGGAUCUCGGAUAGCAACUAUCAAAUUCUUUAUCACUUGCGCUAGGAACGGCCAGUAAUACGAAGGUUUUUUAGUUGAGAUAUAGUUUGGUUUAGAAAUAACUGAGUUAUUUGCCUAGAUUUGAUAAAUCUUUCAACAAUUGCCCUUCUUAGUUUUUUGAAAACUUUAUAAAAGUUUCUAAUUAAGGUGUGGGAAAAAUAAAAAUAUUACAAAAUCUUGGGGUCAAAGUAUUUUUUAUUUUU